rnacentral:sRNA from 1 species
CAUUACACUUUUUUUUCGCCAUUAAUUAAUCUCAGUUAGUUUUUGAUUGAUUGAUUGAUUGAUUUGCGUUUACCACCUUUUCACCCUUUUUAUUAUAUUAAUAACAACAAUAAUACCAAUACCAAUAACCCAUUAUUGAACAAAUUCAAGAACUCUUUUUCAACUCGAAAAAGAAUUCUUUUUCUAAUCAAAAUAUACGACUCUUAACAACGGAUAUCUUGGUUCUCGCAACGAUGAAGAACGCAGCAAAAUGCGAAACGUAAUGUGAAAUGCAAUACUCCGCGAAUCAUCAAAUUUUUGAACGCAAAUGGCUUGUGAUGAUUCAAACACAUCACAAACACAUAUUUGAGCAUCGUUACAUUUCUACUCGACAUUUCUUUCUUUUUUCUAUUUCUUUUAAAUGCUUUUCAACUGACCAAUUCUUUUGAUUCAUUUAUCGAUUUAUUUUGAAUGAAAUGGUAUAGUGAGUGUUUGUUAUUUGAUUGAUCGAUCGAUCACUUGAAUACAAUGUGUCUCGGGUAUAUAUAUACAUAUAUAUAUAAACGAGAUGAAAUCCAGUCAAAACUACCAGUUUUAACAACCUAAAUGAAUAGAAUUUCUCAUUUCGUAGCAAUUUCCUAUUUUCACACAAUAGUAUUCAACCCAAACUUGAAUAUUGUGAGUUGUAAUUUUCUCCAAAAUUGUCAGCAAAGCAAAUAUUUCACUGAAUACCCUAUUGAUCGGUUCUAUAUAUCAGACCUGAAUUUAGUAAAUGAAUGUUUAGUCUAUUCAACAAUCGAACAACAACGAUAACAAUAACGACAACAAAAUCAAAG